GAUGAACGCUGGCGGCGUGCCUAAUACAUGCAAGUCGAGCGAACGGACGAGAAGCUUGCUUCUCUGAUGUUAGCGGCGGACGGGUGAGUAACACGUGGAUAACCUACCUAUAAGACUGGGAUAACUUCGGGAAACCGGAGCUAAUACCGGAUAAUAUUUUGAACCGCAUGGUUCAAAAGUGAAAGACGGUCUUGCUGUCACUUAUAGAUGGAUCCGCGCUGCAUUAGCUAGUUGGUAAGGUAACGGCUUACCAAGGCAACGAUGCAUAGCCGACCUGAGAGGGUGAUCGGCCAAACUGGAACUGAGCCACGGUCCAGACUCCUACGGGAGGCAGCAGUAGGGAAUCUUCCGCAAUGGGCGAAAGCCUGACGGAGCACCGCCGCGUGAGUGAUGAAGGUCUUCGGAUCGUAAAACUCUGUUAUUAGGGAAGAACAUAUGUGUAAGUAACUGUGCACAUCUUGACGGUACCUAAUCAGAAAGCCACGGCUAACUACGUG
rnacentral:rRNA from 1 species